rnacentral:rRNA from 1 species
UACGUAGGGCGCGAGCGUUGUCCGGAAUUAUUGGGCGUAAAGAGCUCGUAGGCGGUCUGUCGCGUCUGCUGUGAAAACCCGAGGCUCAACCUCGGGCCUGCAGUGGGUACGGGCAGACUAGAGUGCGGUAGGGGAGAUUGGAAUUCCUGGUGUAGCGGUGGAAUGCGCAGAUAUCAGGAGGAACACCGAUGGCGAAGGCAGAUCUCUGGGCCGUAACUGACGCUGAGGAGCGAAAGCGUGGGGAGCGAACAGG